rnacentral:rRNA from 1 species
GGAAUAUUGCGCAAUGGACGAAAGUCUGACGCAGCGACGCCGCGUGUGGGAGGAGGCCUUUCGGGGUGUAAACCACUGUCAGGAGGGAAGAACACCACCAGUUCGAACAGGGCUGGUGGUUGACGGUACCUCCAGAGGAAGCGCCGGCUAACUCCGUGCCAGCAGCCGCGGUAAGACGGAGGGCGCAAGCGUUGUUCGGAAUUACUGGGCGUAAAGCGCGGGCAGGCGGUCUGUUAAGUCUUUUGUGAAAACCCGGGGCUCAACCCCGUGGAAUGCAGAAGAUACUGGCAGACUAGAGACCAGUAGAGGCUAGCGGAAUUCCUGGUGUAGCGGUGGAAUGCGUAGAUAUCAGGAAGAACACCUGUGGCGAAGGCGGCUAGCUGGGCUGGAUCUGACGCUCAUCCGCGAAAGCGUGGGGAGCAAAC